rnacentral:rRNA from 1 species
AUUGAACGCUGGCGGAAUGCUUUACACAUGCAAGUCGAGCGGCAGCGCGGGGGCAACCCUGGCGGCGAGCGGCGAACGGGUGAGUAACAUAUCGGAACGUACCCCGUCGUGGGGGAUAACACAGCGAAAGCUGUGUUAAUACCGCAUACGACCUGAGGGUGAAAGCGGGGGACCGUAAGGCCUCGCGCGAUGGGAGCGGCCGAUAUCGGAUUAGCUUGUUGGUGAGGUAAAGGCUCACCAAGGCGACGAUCCGUAGCUGGUCUGAGAGGACGACCAGCCACACUGGAACUGAGACACGGUCCAGACUCCUACGGGAGGCAGCAGUGGGGAAUUUUGGACAAUGGGCGCAAGCCUGAUCCAGCCAUGCCGCGUGAGUGAAGAAGGCCUCGGUU